rnacentral:rRNA from 1 species
CCUACGGGAGGCAGCAGUAGGGAAUCUUCCACAAUGGGCGCAAGCCUGAUGGAGCAACGCCGCGUGAGUGAAGACGGCCUUCGGGUUGUAAAGCUCUGUCUGUCGGGACGAAGACCGGGACGGGAGUCCCGGGGAGCCGGUACCGACGAAGGAAGCCCCUGCAAACUACGUGCCAGCAGCCGCGGUAAGACGUAGGGGGCAAGCGUUGUCCGGAAUUACUGGGCGUAAAGGGCGUGUAGGCGGAGCGAUACGUAGCGGUUUUAAGCCUCCGGCUCACCCGGAGGAGGGCGGCUAAACGGUCGCACUGGAGGGCAGGAGAGGUGCGUGGAAUUCCUGGUGGAGCGGUGAAAUGCGUAGAGAUCAGGAAGAACACCAGUGGCGAAGGCGGCGCACUGGCCUGACCCUGACGCUGAGGCGCGACAGCGUGGGGAGCAAACGGGAUUAGAUACCCCGGUAGUCCACGCCGUAAACGAUGGAUACUAGGUGUCGUGGGGGUCCACCCUGCGGUGCCGGAGCUAACGCACUAAGUAUCCCGCCUGGGGAGUACGGCCGCAAGGUUGAAACUCAAAGGAAUUGACGGGG